GCUCCCCACAAAGCAGUGACACGCCCACCUGAAACUCUUGAUAUCAACAUAAAUUCAAACUGUCAUUUAUUCAUGUGUUCCUGUCGUCUACAACAUGGACAUUUUCACAUAUGGUCACCUCAGCUUUUUGAUAUUUCUGCUUUGGAUCAAAGGUCUAAUUGAUGCCAAGGAUGUCACACAAACUCCCAUGCUGUGGGAACGACAGGGUAAUAAUGCAACAAUGGACUGCAGCCAUACCAAGGAUGCUACCUAUAUCCAGAUGUACUGGUACAGACAGCUGCCAGGAGAAAAUAUGGAACUGAUUGUGUUCACGACAACAGCCAAAAAAUACGAUCACGACUUUGGAAAAUUCAGCAAAGAGAAAUACUCAGCCACAAAGACUGAGGCUCGCGAUGGGACAUUUACAGUGAAGCACCUGGAGCCAAAAGACAGCGGCUGGUAUUUCUGUGCCGUCAGUAAGCACAGUGAUACAGACUCAUGUGAAAGCUGAACAAAAACCUCACUGAAUGGUUGGCACAAGUGUUGCAAUUAUUUCCUGUACUGUAGGGGGACCUCAAGUACAACUGCAGAUCAGAAUCGUAUGAAGCUCUUCAACUUCCCAACUCCCAUCUCACACACACUAACAGAGACUCUGGUCUCUUAAGUUUAAGAUCCCCAGAACACAAUAAAAUAAAAAUGUUCUUCACUGGAAGUGCUGAUCUGUACUACUCACUUACAGUCAAACUGCUGAAUGCAUGCUUAUUAUUCCAUCUUCAUUCAAAGGAAGCUUGAUAGUUUUUAACCUGCACAGAUUUAAAAA